UUCCUUAAGUUUCAAGCUUGAGUUAUAGGUUUAAAGGGUUGAAAUUUUAUUCUGUGAUUGAUGGGAUUUAAUUGGGCCUUGGGUUUUAUUUUUAUGAUGUUUUAGGAUUGUUUGUAAUGCUUAUUUGGUAGGUUUGAUAGUUGUGGGGUGGAAAAGCUCCAAGCUUGAGUUUUAAGCUCAAAGCUUGAGCUUUAAUGGCACUUUUGAUUUAAGGGCAUGGUUUUGAUUUCUGUUACGUUGGAACUGUUAUAUGGAUGAUACAUAUGUCUCAUAUGAAGUUUGGAAUGAAUUGGUUAGGUUUUGAGUUAGUUUGGAGAGUUUAAAGUUGAAGAAAAUCGUGUUCCUGGCAGUUCAGAACCGGAAUUCCGGAUGUACCAACCGGAAUUCCGUUUGGUUAGUUUUCGGAAAAGUCGAAUUUCGUAUUUUGGCCAUAACUUUUCACUCGGGUGUCUGUUUUGUACGUUCUGUAUACCAUUUCGAAGCUUGCGACGAGAUCUAUGAUAUGGUGUAUAUUUUAGAGCCAAAAUAUAAUUUUCAUUUUAGUGAAUUUUUCCCUCAAGGUUUGGGCCCGGGAUGAUCGAUCGUUCUCCAAGCAGGUCGGCCAACAUACCUAAACCAGAAUUUGAGGUAAGGAAGUUAGAAGCUGUGUUCGGC